rnacentral:rRNA from 1 species
CCUACGGGAGGCUGCAGUGAGGAAUAUUGGUCAAUGGACGAGAGUCUGAACCAGCCAAGUAGCGUGAAGGAUGACUGCCCUAUGGGUUGUAAACUUCUUUUAUAUGGGAAUAAAAUGUUCCACGUGUGGGAUUUUGUAUGUACCAUAUGAAUAAGGAUCGGCUAACUCCGUGCCAGCAGCCGCGGUAAUACGGAGGAUCCGAGCGUUAUCCGGAUUUAUUGGGUUUAAGGGGAGCGUAGGUGGAUUGUUAAGUCAGUUGUGAAAGUUUGCGGCUCAACCGUAAAAUUGCAGUUGAAACUGGCAGUCUUGAGUACAGUAGAGGUGGGCGGAAUUCGUGGUGUAGCGGUGAAAUGCUUAGAUAUCACGAAGAACUCCGAUUGCGAAGGCAGUUCACUGGACUGCAACUGACACUGAGGCUCGAAAGUGUGGGUAUCAAACAGGAUUAGAUACCCUUGUAGUC